CUCCCCUCAUUUGCUCAAUUGUUCUGUUCUUCCUGCAUCAGAUGUAAAGCAGUCAACAGUCCAUGAAAUCCCUUCCCAGUGUAUCCGCCCUCGCCUAGGUAACUCAAUCUGUUUUCUUAUGACCUCAGUCUUACAAGCCCCUCUCAAGUAAAUCUUCCCUGACAAAAGCACCCAGGUUAGGUAAUUUGCACAGUACCUCUGUAGAUAAUGAAGUUGCAGAAACAGUGGAUGUGAAGUUGCCACUGCCUAGACCAUGUUCCUGAAACCAGUCAUUCAUCCCACAGCCAUUUAAUGACCUAACAACCUAAUUAUUUGACAAGAUAAAACAACAGAUGCAGAGAGUUUCUGCAGGAGCAAAGCCAUUGUUUUCACCUGCCUGAAGGACACUGCCUACAAUUACCAGCUCAACAGCCCAGUAGAACUCCUGGAACUGCUCCUUUGGAAAUUCUGCCCUAUCCCCAUUUUUUAGCAUGAGCUCACACACUGUCUUUCUAGCCUAUCUGUUGGAUUAGUGCAACCCAAGAUCUCACGGGUCUCUGGUCAGGGGCUCUUCUUCCAAACAAUGUGGUAUAAAGGGAAAAGCACAGGACACAAAAUUAGACGGCAAAAUAAAACCUAGGAUCCAACACUGAGUAGAACAAUCCUGGCAUUAAACUUAUGCACCUAUA